UACGAAGGGGGCUAGCGUUGCUCGGAAUCACUGGGCGUAAAGGGUGCGUAGGCGGGUCUUAAGUCAGGGGUGAAAUCCUGGAGCUCAACUCCAGAACUGCCUUUGAUACUGGAGAGCUUGAGUCCGGGAGAGGUGAGUGGAACUCCGAGUGUAGAGGUGAAAUUCGUAGAUAUUCGGAAGAACACCAGUGGCGAAGGCGGCUCACUGGCCCGGUACUGACGCUGAUGUGCGAAAGCGUGGGGAGCAAACAGGG
rnacentral:rRNA from 1 species